UUAGUGGCGGACGGGUGAGUAACGCGUGGAUAACCUGCCGUAUACCGGGGGAUAACACUUAGAAAUAGGUGCUAAUACCGCAUAAGCGCACGGCUCCGCAUGGGGCAGUGUGAAAAACUCCGGUGGUAUACGAUGGAUCCGCGUCUGAUUAGCUAGUUGGCGGGGUAACGCCCACCAAGGCAGCGAUCAGUAGCCGGCCUGAGAGGGUGGACGGCCACAUUGGGACUGAGACACGGCCCAAACUCCUACGGAAGGCAGCAG
rnacentral:rRNA from 1 species